rnacentral:rRNA from 1 species
AUUGAACGCUGGCGGCAGGCCUAACACAUGCAAGUCGAACGGUAACAGGAAGCAGCUUGCUGCUUCGCUGACGAGUGGCGGACGGGUGAGUCAUGUCUGGGAAGCUGCCUGAUGGAGGGGGAUAACUACUGGAAACGGUAGCUACUACCGCAUAAUGUCGCAAGACCAAAGAGGGGGACCUUCUGGCCUCUUGCCAUCGGAUGUGCCCAGGUGGGAUUAGCUUGUUGGUGGGGUAACGGCUCACCAAGGCGACGAUCCCUAGCUGGUCUGAGAGGAUGACCAGCCACACUGGGACUGAGACACGGUCCAGACUCCUACGGGAGGCAGCAGUGGGGAAUAUUGCACAAUGGGCGCAAGCCUGAUGCAGCCAUGCCGCGUGUAUGAAGAAGGCCUUCGGGUUGUAAAGUACUUUCAGCGGGGAGGAAGGGAGUAAAGUUAAUACCUUUGCUCAUUGACGUUACCCGCAGAAGAAGCACCGGCUAACUACGUG